rnacentral:rRNA from 1 species
CCUACGGGAGGCAGCAGUGAGGAAUAUUGGUCAAUGGACGAGAGUCUGAACCAGCCAAGUAGCGUGAAGGAUGACUGCCCUAUGGGUUGUAAACUUCUUUUAUAUGGGAAUAAAAUGUUCCACGUGUGGGAUUUUGUAUGUACCAUAUGAAUAAGGAUCGGCUAACUCCGUGCCAGCAGCCGCGGUAAUACGGAGGAUCCGAGCGUUCUCCGGAUUUAUUUGGUUUAAAGGGAGCGUAGGGGGAUUGUUAAGUCAGUUGUGAAAGUUUGCGGCUAAACCUGAAAAUUGCAGUUGAAACUGGCAGUCUUGAGUACAGUAGAGGUGGGCGGAAUGCGUGGUGUAGCGGGGAAAUGCUUAGAUAUCACGAAGAACUCCGAUUGCGAAGGCAGCUCACUGGACUGCAACUGACACUGAGGCUCGAAAGUGUGGGUAUCAAACAGGAUUAGAUACCCGGGUAGUC